GCCAGGCGCGGUGGCCCACGCCUGUAAUCCCAGCAGCUCAGGAGGCUGAGACAGGAGGAUCAAGAGUUCAAAGCCAGUAGUGAGCAAUUUAGUGAGGCCCUAAGCAACUCAGUGAGACCCUUUCUCUA
rnacentral:sRNA from 1 species